rnacentral:rRNA from 1 species
AUUGAACGCUGGCGGCAGGCCUAACACAUGCAAGUCGAGCGGAUGAAGGGAGCUUGCUCCUGGAUUCAGCGGCGGACGGGUGAGUAAUGCCUAGGAAUCUGCCUGGUAGUGGGGGAUAACGUCCGGAAACGGACGCUAAUACCGCAUACGUCCUGAGGGAGAAAGUGGGGGAUCUUCGGACCUCACGCUAUCAGAUGAGCCUAGGUCGGAUUAGCUAGUUGGUGGGGUAAAGGCCUACCAAGGCGACGAUCCGUAACUGGUCUGAGAGGAUGAUCAGUCACACUGGAACUGAGACACGGUCCUGACUCCUACGGGAGGCAGCAGUGGGGAAUAUUGGACAAUGGGCGAAAGCCUGAUCCAGCCAUGCCGCGUGUGUGAAGAAGGUCUUCGGAUUGUAAAGCACUUUAAGUUGGGAGGAAGGGCAGUAAGUUAAUACCUUGCUGUUUUGACGUUACCAACAGAAUAAGCACCGGCUAACUUCGUG